rnacentral:rRNA from 1 species
UACAGAGACUGCAAGCGUUAUUCGGAUUCACUGGGCGUAAAGGGUGCGUAGGUGGUCAGGUAAGUCUGAUGUGAAAGCUCUGGGCUCAACCCAGAAAUGGCAUUGGAUACUAUCUGGCUAGAGGAAUGGAGGGGGGACUGGAAUACUUGGUGUAGCAGUGAAAUGCGUAGAUAUCAAGUGGAACACCAGUGGCGAAGGCGAGUCCCUGGACAUUUCCUGACACUGAGGCACGAAAGCUAGGGGAGCAAACAGG